rnacentral:rRNA from 1 species
GGACAGAAAGACCCUAUGAAGCUUUACUGUAGCCUGGAAUAGGGUUCGGGCUGUGUUUGCGCAGGAUAGGUGGGAGGCGUUGAAGGUUUUCUUGUGGGAAAACUGGAGCCAACGGUGAGAUACCACUCUAACACAGCUAGAAUUCUAACCUACGCCCAUGAUCUGGGGUAGGGACGGUUUCAGGUGGGCAGUUUGACUGGGGCGGUCGCCUCCUAAAUGGUAACGGAGGCGUACAAAGGUUCCCUCAGCCUGGUUGGAAAUCAGGCGCAGAGUGCAAAGGCAUAAGGGAGCUUGACUGCGAGACCUACAAGUCGAGCAGGGUGGAAACACGGUCUUAGUGAUCUGACGGCACUGAGUGGAAGGGCCGUCGCUCAACGGAUAAAAGUUACUCUAGGGAUAACAGGCUGA